rnacentral:rRNA from 1 species
GGCUCAGGAUGAACGCUGGCGGCGUGCCUAAUACAUGCAAGUCGAACGGACAGGAGCAAUCCUGUUAGUGGCGAACGGGUGAGUAACGCGUUGGUGACCUGCCCCGGAGAGAGGGAUAACAGGCCGAAAGGCUUGCUAAUACCGCAUGAGCAAGAGAGGGACUAGAAGCUUUCUUGUAAAGCAUAACGUUCGCAAGAACGCAUGCGCUCUGGGAGGGGCCUGCGACCCAUCAGCUAGUUGGUAAGGUAACGGCUUACCAAGGCGAUGACGGGUAGGGGACCUGAGAGGGUGGCCCCCCACAAUGGAACUGAAACACGGUCCAUACACCUACGGGUGGCAGCAGUAGGGAAUAUUGCAUAAUGGGCGAAAGCCUGAUGCAGCAACGCCGCGUGUGCGAUGAAGGCCUUCGGGUUGUAAAGCACUUUUAGCAGGGAAGAGGAAGGACGGUACCUGCUGAAUAAGCCUCGGCUAACUACGUGCCAGCAGCCGCGGUAAAACGUAGGAGGCGAGCGUUAUCCGGAUUUACUGGGUGUAAAGCGCGUGCAGGCGGUCUACUAAGUUGGAUGUGAAAGCUCCUGGCUCAACUGGGAGAGGUCGUUCAAGACUGGUAGACUGGAGAGCAGUAGGGGAAGGUGGAAUUCCGGGUGUAGUGGUGAAAUGCGUAGAUAUCCGGAGGAACACCAGUGGCGAAAGCGGCCUUCUGGACUGCAUCUGACGCUCAGACGCGAAAGCUAGGGGAGCAAACGGGAUUAGAGACCCCGGUAGUCCUAGCUGUAAACGAUGUGAACUUGGCGCUGGUUGGGUAAAACCGAUCAGUGCCGAAGCAAACGCGAUAAGUUCACCACCUGAGGACUACGGC